AUGCUCACUUUGCCAGCACAUACACUAAAAUUGGAACGAUACAGAGAAGAUUAGCAUGGUCCCUCUGCAAGGAUGACAUGCAAAUUUGUGAAUCGUUCUGUAUGUUU
ensembl:snRNA U6 U6 spliceosomal RNA